rnacentral:rRNA from 1 species
UACGGAGGGUGCAAGCGUUAUUCGGAUUCACUGGGCUUAAAGGGUGCGUAGGUGGGUCAGUAAGUCCGUGGUGAAAUCUCCGGGCUUAACUCGGAAACUGCCAUUGAUACUAUUUGUCUUGAAUACUGUGGAGGUCAGCGGAAUAUGUCAUGUAGCGGUGAAAUGCUUAGAUAUGACAUAGAACACCAAUGGCGAAGGCAGCUGGCUGCACAAAUAUUGACACUGAGGCACGAAAGCGUGGGGAUCAAACAGG